AGUGAACGCUGGCGGCAGGCCUAACACAUGCAAGUCGAACGGCCGCUCCGUAGUUACUGGCUGACGGGGGAGUAGCACGUCGGAACGGGGCGUUUGGCUCGGGAUUACUCUGUGACACGGGGGCUAAUGUCGGGUGUGUCCUGCUAGUACAAGAUUUAUCGCGCUUAUAGAAGCCCGCGUUUUACGAGCUUGGUGGUAUGGAAUCGGCUCACCAAGGCGUCGAUAAGUAGCGGGUCUGAGAGGAUGGCCCGCCACUCUGGGAGUGAGCCGCGGCCCAGACUCUUGCGGGAGGCAGCAGAGGGGAAUCUUGCGAUAUCGGCGGAAGGCUGACGCCGCCAUGCUGCGUGAAUGAUGAUGUUCUUAGGAUUGUACAAUUCUUUCAUCGGGGACGAUACUGACGGUACCCGGAGAAGAAGCCCCGGCUAACUUCGUG
rnacentral:rRNA from 1 species